GGGUCUAUGGCCUAAUGGACAAGGCGCUUGCCUCCGGAGCAAGAGAUUCCGAGUUCGAAUCUCGGUAGACUCU
rnacentral:tRNA from 1 species